UUUUCUUGUAAGUAUUGUAACUGAAACUGGGCUAAAAAAGACUGAUAGCAGUUUAAUAUCUGAUACGUCCUCUAUCCGAGGACAAUAUAUUAAAUGGAUUUUUGGAGCAGGGAGAUGGAAUAGGAGCUUGCUCUGUCCACUCCACGCAUCGACCUGGUAUUGCAGUACUUCCAGGAACGGUGCACCCCCU